rnacentral:rRNA from 1 species
AUGAACGCUGGCGGCGUGCCUAAUACAUGCAAGUCGAGCGAACGGACGAGAAGCUCGCUUCUCUGAUGUUAGCGGCGGACGGGUGAGUAACACGUGGAUAACCUACCUAUAAGACUGGGAUAACUUCGGGAAACCGUAGCUAAUACCGGAUAAUAUUUUGAACCGCAUGGUUCAAAAGUGAAAGACGGUCUUGCUGUCACUUAUAGAUGGAUCCGCGCUGCAUUAGCUAGUUGGUAAGGUAACGGCUUACCAAGGCAACGAUGCAUAGCCGACCUGAGAGGGUGAUCGGCCACACUGGAACUGAGACACGGUCCAGACUCCUACGGGAGGCAGCAGUAGGGAAUCUUCCGCAAUGGGCGAAAGCCUGACGGAGCAACGCCGCGUGAGUGAUGAAGGUCUUCGGAUCGUAAAACUCUGUUAUUAGGGAAGAACAUAUGUGUAAGUAACUGUGCACAUCUUGACGGUACCUAAUCAGAAAGCCACGGCUAACUACGUG